rnacentral:lncRNA from 10 species
UGUUUUGUUCUUGCCGGCAGGUGAAAUUGUGGCAUAUACCUGGGCCCAGCUCACAACCACAAUGAUGACUCUCUUACCUGGACACAGACAGUGGGAGAUAUUUUGACUUUUGUAGCCAGGCUUAGGCCAUAGGUGGUUUGGUGACUCUCGAACCAUGAUUCGGCAGACCUGUGAGGCUGUGAGUUCCCUAUUGGAACACAAUCUGCAGGUUGUAUUGUGCCAUAUACCUGGGACCAAAUUACAAGCACAAUGAUGAAUUUUUUACCUGGAGUCAAGACAUGUGCAGGAUGGUGGA